GGGUAUACAGCUCAGUGGUGGAGCACAUGCCUAGCAUGCAUAAGGUCCUGGGUUGAAUCCCCAGUACCGCCA
rnacentral:tRNA from 1 species